rnacentral:misc_RNA from 1 species
GGGGCUUUUGGGGCUGAUCGGGUUUUGCCAUUCCUAACAGCAUCAAAAAUGUUCUCUAAGAGAAUACAAUCAUUGCCACAAAUCUAGAAAGUUACUGUUAUAGCUUGAUUUUAACCAAAAUGCUAUGCAGGUAGAGACAAUUACAAGCAAUAGCAUUUAUGAGCACUCAGGUCAAUUAAUAACUAAGGACGACAUGAAGAAAUUCAGACUAAGAUGCAGCCUAAGUGGUAUUUAUUCAUAUUGAAGCCUUACAAGCCAAAAAGGAAGCCUAAUAGAACCAGAAGGGAAGAACAUAGCAUAAAAGCCAUAAAAUACAGUGGCCUUUAAAGCCGGCCAAACCAAAUUGUUGCGGUAAGGCUUUGCCACACACAUAUAAAUCUCAUGUUAAAAAUGAUAUUGCACACCCAUCAAAUUC